rnacentral:rRNA from 1 species
AGAGUUUGAUCAUGGCUCAGAUUGAACGCUGGCGGCAGGCUUAACACAUGCAAGUCGAACGGUAACAGGAAGGAAGCUUGCUUUCUUUGCUGACGAGUGGCGGACGGGUGAGUAAUGCUUGGGAAUCUGGCUUAUGGAGGGGGAUAACUACGGGAAACUGUAGCUAAUACCGCGUAAUAUCUUCGGAUUAAAGGGUGGGACCGUAAGGCCACCUGCCAUAAGAUGAGCCCAAGUGGGAUUAGGUAGUUGGUGGGGUAAAGGCCUACCAAGCCGACGAUCUCUAGCUGGUCUGAGAGGAUGACCAGCCACACUGGAACUGAGACACGGUCCAGACUCCUACGGGAGGCAGCAGUGGGGAAUAUUGCACAAUGGGGGGAACCCUGAUGCAGCCAUGCCGCGUGAAUGAAGAAGGCCUUCGGGUUGUAAAGUUCUUUCGGUGAUGAGGAAGGCGGUUGUUUUAAUAGAACAAUCGAUUGACGUUAGUCACAGAAGAAGCACCGGCUAACUCCGUGCCAGCAGCCGCGGUAAUACGGAGGGUGCGAGCGUUAAUCGGAAUGACUGGGCGUAAAGGGCACGCAGGCGGUGACUUAAGUGAGAUGUGAAAGCCCCGGGCUUAACCUGGGAAUUGCAUUUCAUACUGGGUCGCUAGAGUAUUUUAGGGAGGGGCAGAAUUCCACGUGUAGCGGUGAAAUGCGUAGAGAUGUGGAGGAAUACCGAAGGCGAAGGCAGCCCCUUGGGAAUAUACUGACGCUCAUGUGCGAAAGCGUGGGGAGCAAACAGGAUUAGAUACCCUGGUAGUCCACGCUGUAAACGCUGUCGAUUUGGGGAUUGGGCUUUAAGCUUGGUGCCCGUAGCU